AGUGAAAGAUACCUCAAUGCUGACACACCAUAGGGAUUUUCACACAACACCAUUUUGUCUCUGACUACAGCAGCAGUGUAAAAAUGUAUUGUGGCAGAUUUACUGAUAACAAAUGGAGCAGAUUGUCUUGAAUGCUUACAGAGUCAGUUCUUAGUCUGGACAGCUCCUCCUCCCGCUCCUCGAUGCAGCUCUUCAAUUCGUCAAUCUGGGGAGGAAACAGUGAAAGUAUGUCGUCUCUAGUCUUGUACAAGAAACUAAAAGGAGAGAAGAUGGGAAUCAAAAGGACAGAUUGGAGUCUGUAGUCUUGUACAAGAAACUAAAAGGAGAGAAGAUGGGAAUCAAAAGGACAGAUUGGAGUCUGUAGUCUUGUACAAGAAGCUAAAAGGAGAGAAGAUGGGAAUCAAAAGGACAGAUUGGAGUCUGUAGUCUUGUACAAGAAACUAAAAGGAGAGAAGAUGGGAAUCAAAAGGACAGAUUGGAGUCUGUAGUCUUGUACAAGAAACUAAAAGGAGAGAAGAUGGGAAUCAAAAGGACAGAUUGGAGUCUGUAGUCUUGUACAAGAAACUAAAAGGAGAGAAGAUGGGAAUCAAAAGGACAGAUUGGAGUCUGUAGUCUUGUACAAGAAGCUAAAAGGAGAGAAGAUGGGAAUCAAAAGGACAGAUUGGAGUCUGUAGUCUUGUACAAGAAGCUAAAAGGAGAGAAGAUGGGAAUCAAAAGGACAGAUUGGAGUCUGUAGUCUUGUACAAUAAGCUAAAAGGAGAGAAGAUGGGAAUCAAAAGGACACAUUGGAGUCUGUAGUCUUGUACAACAAGUUAAAAGGAGAGAAGAUGGGAAUCAAAAGGACAGAUUGGAUGCUGAAAAAACGCUGUCAUGAAGCGCUUCCCAGGUGCAACAAAGGGACAAGUGGGAAAUGGCUUAAAACAGUCAAAAUGGUGGAAUUGAGAAGCGAUGAAUAGGAUUAAAUGAUGUGUUUUGUGUCGUUUGUUCUGUUCUAUUACCAUGACUACAAGUAUCACUGAAAUAAUGUUCCCGUAACAUAUAUGUUAACACAUAUUGUUCAGAUGUAUUGUAUCAUGUAAGGGACAUAAUAAACAUUUGAAUACUAAAUGUGUUACAUAUAUAUGAGCAUAUAAGUAUUAUGCAUAUAUGCACAUAUAUGUGGAUAUAAGGCAGAAAUAUUUGUCACAUAUAUGAAAAUGGCCAAUUAUUGUAUAUUUCAACAUAUAUGUGACAUAUCUAGUGCCCUCAGAAAGUCUUUCAAACCUAUUGACUUUUUCAACAUUUUGUUAUGUUACAGCCUGAAUUUAAAAUGGGUUAAAUACAGAUUUUGUGUCACUCGCCUACACACAAUACCCCAUAAUGUCAACGCGUAAUGAUGUUUUUAAAAGUUUUUACAUACUAAUAAAAAAUGAAAAGCUGAAA